AGAGUUUGAUCCUGGCUCAGAGUGAACGCUGGCGGCGUGCUUAACACAUGCAAGUCGAGCGAGUUCAGCAGAGUAUCGUUGGACUAGCGGCAGACGGGUGAGUAAUGCGUGGGUAAUCUGCCUUCGAGAGGGGAAUAACCCCGGGAAACCGGGGCUAAUACCGCGUAAGACCACAGCCUGGCAUCAGGCAGGGGUUAAAGCUUCGCAAGGAGCGCUUGAAGAGGAACCUACGCCCUAUCAGCUAGUUGGUGAGGUAACGGCCCACCAAGGCUACGACGGGUAACUGGUCUGAAAGGACGACCAGUCACAAUGGCACUGAGACACGGGCCAUACUCCUACGGGAGGCAGCAGUGAGGAAUUUUGCGCAAUGGGGGCAACCCUGACGCAGCAACGCCGCGUGGAGGACGAAGGUCUUCGGAUUGUAAACUCCUUUUGUCCCUGAAAAAACUCCUAUUGAAGAAAUAGGAUUGAUUGUAAGGGAUGAAUAAGCCACGGCUAACUUCGUGCCAGCAGCCGCGGUAAGACGAAGGUGGCGAGCGUUACUCGGAAUUACUAGGCGUAAAGCGUGGGUAGGUGGCUCGAUAAGUCUGUUGUGAAAGCUCCUGGCUUAACCGGGAGAGGCCAAUGGAUACUAUCGGGCUUGAAUGUGGGAGAGGAUGCUGGAAUUCCUGGUGUAGCGGUGAAAUGCGUAGAGAUCUGGAGGAACACCAAUGGCGAAAGCAGGCAUCUGGACCAAUAUUGACACUGAGCCACGAAAGCUAGGGGAGCAAACAGGAUUAGAUACCCUGGUAGUCCUAGCCGUAAACU
rnacentral:rRNA from 1 species